AGAAAUGCUAUGAAAAGAAGAGUAGUAAAACAAAGUAUCAAAAGAGAGCUAAUGAUUUGGUGAAAGUUAGUGUUAUGGAGUUUUAUGAAGAUGGCCUUUGAGCAGGUUUCUUGAGCUUUAAAUUAAAGUUAGAGAAUCACGGGUGCAACCGUUAUAUUGCAAGGUUUAUAAUAACCUAGUGAGUUUUUUACUGUAAGGUAAAAAAGAAAUAGAGUGGUAACGCGUAAUUUAACGCCUCUAUG
rnacentral:ncRNA from 1 species